AGGACUUUGAAUCAUUCUCCUAGAAAGGAGAAACCAGACACUGAAUUCUAGAAGGAAAGGAUUUUUAUUCCCACUGACAACAUUUGUUUUGUUUUACUUUCAUUGGUACCCACACUGGAAUCUAGGCCAGCAUUUCUUGCCUAUCUCUAAUUGCCCCCCAGAGGGCUGUUAAGAGUUAACCACAUCGCUGUGGGGAUGGAGACAUAUGUGGUCCAGAUCAGAUACACAGUGGAGAUAGGUACAGAAGUGUAAUUGAGCAUACACUGCAGUACAUCCUUGGCAUUUUGUACCUCCAUCCCACUUUCCAAUGGAUCAUGUGCCAACAGGCCAGGAUAAAAGAAGGAUGCUGCCAGGCCUCCUGAGCUUUUCCAGCGACUUUGCUUUUGUUCCUUCUUUACAAGCCGGUUGACUAUGCUCCAUGUUUUGUACCCUGUAUAAUUUUCCGUAUAUAAAAGCCACCCUAUAUAAAAUGAAAGCCUAUAUAUUUUGAUAUUAUUCCACUUGCACCUAAGUGGAGAGAUAUUUAUUUACUAUGCACAUAAAAAUAAUGUCAAUAGUCCCACCACAAAUUCUAAGGAACAGUAGUGUUUUCGGUCCUUCAGUUUGAAAAUGAACUGUUAAUCUGUACUCUUUGCUUUGUAUCAUUUAUCCAACUUCCAUGUCAUUGCAUUUUCUUUAAUGCACAGUGCCAUCUUUCAUAUCAAAUGAAAUUGUAUUUUUUCUCCUAAGGCAAUUCAAAUAAAGCACUGUAGUUCUAGAUGUAUUUCAA